UAACACGUAGGGGCCGAGCGUUGUCCGGAGUUACUGGGCGUAAAGCGCGCGCAGGCGGUCCGACGCAUCUCUGGUGAAAGCCCCGGGCUCAACCCGGGAGGGUCCAGGGAGAUGGUCGGACUGGAGGCAGGGCGAGGGCGGUGGAAUUCCGGGUGUAGUGGUGAAAUGCGUAGAGAUCCGGAGGAACACCAGUGGCGAAGGCGGCCGCCUGGACCUGUCCUGACGCUGAGGCGCGAAGGCGUGGGGAGCGAACGGGAUUAGAUACCCCGGUAGUCCACGCAGUAAACGAUGGGCACUGGGUGUGGCGGGAGUUGACCCCUGCCGUGCCGGAGUUAACACGGUAAGUGCCCCGCCUGGGGAGUACGGCCGCAAGGCUA
rnacentral:rRNA from 1 species